rnacentral:rRNA from 1 species
UUGCCCUAGUAACGGCGAGUGAAGCGGCAACAGCUCAAAUUUGAAAUCUGGCGUCUUCGGCGUCCGAGUUGUAAUUUGCAGAGGGCGCUUUGGCAUUGGCAGCGGUCCAAGUUCCUUGGAACAGGACGUCACAGAGGGUGAGAAUCCCGUACGUGGUCGCUAGCCUUUACCGUGUAAAGCCCCUUCGACGAGUCGAGUUGUUUGGGAAUGCAGCUCUAAAUGGGAGGUAAAUUUCUUCUAAAGCUAAAUACUGGCCAGAGACCGAUAGCGCACAAGUAGAGUGAUCGAAAGAUGAAAAGCACUUUGGAAAGAGAGUUAAAAAGCACGUGAAAUUGUUGAAAGGGAAGCGCUUGCAGCCAGACUUGCCUGUAGUUGCUCAUCCGGGUUUCUACCCGGUGCACUCUUCUAUAGGCAGGCCAGCAUCAGUUUGGGCGGUUGGAUAAAGGUCUCUGUCAUGUACCUCUCUUCGGGGAGAACUUAUAGGGGAGACGACAUGCAACCAGCCUGGACUGAGGUCCGCGCAUCUGCUAGGAUGCUGGCGUAAUGGCUGUAAGCGGCCCGUCUUGAAACACGGACCAAGGAGUCUAACAUCUAUGCGAGUGUUUGGGUGUCAAGCCCGAGCGCGUAAUGAAAGUGAACGGAGGUGGGAACCUUUCGGGGUGCACCAUCGACCGAUCCUGAUGUCUUCGGAUGGAUUUGAGUAAGAGCAUAGCUGUUGGGACCCGAAAGAUGGUGAACUAUGCUUGAAUAGGGUGAAGCCAGAGGAAACUCUGGUGGAGGCUCGCAGCGGUUCUGACGUGCAAAUCGAUCGUCAAAUUUGGGCAUAGGGGCGAAAGACUAAUCGAACUAUCUAGUAGCUGGUUCCUGCCGAAGUUUCCCUCAGGAUAGCAGUAACGUUUUCAGUUUUAUGAGGUAAAGCGAAUGAUUAGAGGCCUGGGGGUUGAAACAACCUU